CCUACGGGAGGCAGCAGUGAGGAAUAUUGGUCAAUGGGCGGAAGCCUGAACCAGCCAAGUAGCGUGCGGGAUGAAGGCCCUACGGGUCGUAAACCGCUUUUGCACGGGGAUAACACCCUCCACUUGUGGAGGUCUGCAGGUACCGUGCGAUUAAGGGCCGGACAAUUCCGUGCCAGCAGCCGCGGUACUACGGGAGGCCCGAGCGUUAUCCGGAUUCAUUGGGCUUAAAGGGAGCGUAGGCGGGCGUUAAAGUCAGCUGGAAAAUCACGCGGCUCAACCGCGCCCCGCAGUUGAAACUGGACGCCUUGAGUUCACAACAGGCAGGCGGAAUUCGUGGUGUAGCGGUGAAAUGCAUAGAUAUCACGAGGAACCCCGAUGGCGAAGGCAGCCUGCCGGGGUGCGACUGACGCUGAGGCUCGAAGGUGCGGGUAUCAAACAGGAUUAGAUACCCCAGUAGUC
rnacentral:rRNA from 1 species